rnacentral:rRNA from 1 species
GCUUAACACAUGCAAGUCGAGGGGCAGCAUUCCUGUUUGCUUGCAAACUGGAGAUGGCGACCGGCGCACGGGUGAGUAACACGUAUCCAACCUGCCGAUAACUCGGGGAUAGCCUUUCGAAAGAAAGAUUAAUACCCGAUGGUAUAAUCAGACCGCAUGGUCUUGUUAUUAAAGAAUUUCGGUUAUCGAUGGGGAUGCGUUCCAUUAGGCAGUUGGUGAGGUAACGGCUCACCAAACCUUCGAUGGAUAGGGGUUCUGAGAGGAAGGUCCCCCACAUUGGAACUGAGACACGGUCCAAACUCCUACGGGAGGCAGCAGUGAGGAAUAUUGGUCAAUGGGCGCAGGCCUGAACCAGCCAAGUAGCGUGAAGGAUGACUGCCCUAUGGGUUGUAAACUUCUUUUAUAUGGGAAUAAAGUUUUCCACGUGUGGAAUUUUGUAUGUACCAUAUGAAUAAGGAUCGGCUAACUCCGUGCCAGCAGCCGCGGUAAUACGGAGGAUCCGAGCGUUAUCCGGAUUUAUUGGGUUUAAAGGGAGCGUAGGUGGACAGUUAAGUCAGUUGUGAAAGUUUGCGGCUCAACCGUAAAAUUGCAGUUGAUACUGGCUGUCUUGAGUACAGUAGAGGUGGGCGGAAUUCGUGGUGUAGCGGUGAAAUGCUUAGAUAUCACGAAGAACUCCGAUUGCGAAGGCAGCUCACUGGACUGCAACUGACACUGAUGCUCGAAAGUGUGGGUAUCAAACAGGAUUAGAUACCCUGGUAGUCCACACAGUAAACGAUGAAUACUCGCUGUUUGCGAUAUACAGUAAGCGGCCAAGCGAAAGCAUUAAGUAUUCCACCUGGGGAGUACGCCGGCAACGGUGAAACUCAAAGGAAUUGACGGGGGCCCGCACAAGCGGAGGAACAUGUGGUUUAAUUCGAUGAUACGCGAGGAACCUUACCCGGGCUUAAAUUGCAUUUGAAUAUAUUGGAAACAGUAUAGCCGUAAGGCAAAUGUGAAGGUGCUGCAUGGUUGUCGUCAGCUCGUGCCGUGAGGUGUCGGCUUAAGUGCCAUAACGAGCGCAACCCUUAUCUUUAGUUACUAACAGGUCAUGCUGAGGACUCUAGAGAGACUGCCGUCGUAAGAUGUGAGGAAGGUGGGGAUGACGUCAAAUCAGCACGGCCCUUACGUCCGGGGCUACACACGUGUUACAAUGGGGGGUACAGAAGGCAGCUACCUGGUGACAGGAUGCUAAUCCCAAAAGCCUCUCUCAGUUCGGAUCGAAGUCUGCAACCCGACUUCGUGAAGCUGGAUUCGCUAGUAAUCGCGCAUCAGCCAUGGCGCGGUGAAUACGUUCCCGGGCCUUGUACACACCGCCCGUCAAGCCAUGAAAGCCGGGGGUACCUGAAGUACGUAACCGCAAGGAGCGUCCUAGGGUAAAACUGGUAAUUGGGG